CAGCGCCCCGCCCCGCCCUGUGCGACCCUGGCCCAACACGGAUGCUGACCCCUCCCCUUUCCGGCUCAUCCGCUGUUCCGCGGGCGUUCUGGAGUGGAGGUUCGGGCCUCUUCGGACCGUGUAACCGUUCUAACAGCAGGAAGGCAUGGAGCUGCGGGCAGUUGCGAUGGAACCUUACCAGCACAUCAGUCUCUCUUCCCUUCCAUUGCAUCCUGUACCCCUUAGGCCAGGUGAGGGGGGCUGUAUUCUGGGUGG
rnacentral:lncRNA from 1 species